UUCUUCUUCUUCUCUGUGGAAGAUCCACACGUCGCCCCUCUUCGAUUUUUCCUCCCUUCCGCUAACCAUCUCUCUCCCUCUCUCACGCACGCCGGAAAAGACUAGACUUUUGGUCAACAACGCGGGAAAUCCCUCUCUUUCUCUCCUUCAGCCGACGCAACCACCCAACACCCCUUGCACCGCUGAACUCACUGGAAAUCAAGGCCAAGGGAGAUGUCAUGGCUAUGGGCUGAAGCUUUGAGAAAAAGAGAAUGAAAAAUGAAAUGGCUUGAAGAAUCCUCGAGAGAGUGACAAUGCUUGUUGAAUUUUUAUGAAAAUGCAACAUUGAAAAGGUUGAUGAGUUUCCAAUUUCAAAAGUCUACCUAAAGCUCUAUUGUUUGUUUAACUCAAAGGU